AGCGAACGCUGGCGGCAGGCUUAACACAUGCAAGUCGAGCGGGCACCUUCGGGUGUCAGCGGCAGACGGGUGAGUAACACGUGGGAACGUGCCCAUCGGUUCGGAACAACUCCGGGAAACUGGAGCUAAUACCGGAUACGACCGAGAGGUGAAAGAUUUAUCGCCGAUGGAUCGGCCCGCGUCUGAUUAGCUAGUUGGUGAGGUAACGGCUCACCAAGGCGACGAUCAGAGCUGGUCUGAGAGGAUGAUCAGCCACACUGGGACUGAGACACGGCCCAGACUCCUACGGGAGGCAGCAGUGGGGAAUAUUGGACAAUGGGCGAAAGCCUGAUCCAGCCAUGCCGCGUGAGUGAUGAAGGCCUUAGGGUUGUAAAGCUCUUUC
rnacentral:rRNA from 1 species